rnacentral:rRNA from 1 species
UACGUAGGAUGCAAGCGUUAUCCGGAAUUAUUGGGCGUAAAGUGUCCGCAGGUGGCUGUGUAAGUCUGCUGUCAAAGAGCAAAGCUCAACUUUGUAAAGGCAGUGGAAACUACACGGCUAGAGUGCGUUCGGGGCAGAGGGAAUUCCUGGUGUAGCGGUGAAAUGCGUAGAGAUCAGGAAGAACACCGGUGGCGAAGGCGCUCUGCUAGGCCGCAACUGACACUGAGGGACGAAAGCUAGGGGAGCGAAUGGG